rnacentral:lncRNA from 1 species
UUGGAAAGAAAUCCAUUGGAAAUCAUGGGAACGUCAUGGAAGUUAAUGAAGUGGAUCGUCUCGGUUCUAGAGGGCGACCUGGGUUUUACAGAGUUACCCUGAAGAUUUCUGUUGUGGGAAAAUACCCGGGAAGUGACAGAGCCAAGCCAGUCAUUACUGGAGGCACGUCGAGGAAAAGACAAGACUGACUGACACAGCAAGAAGCCAGGAAGAGGAGCCUCACCAGGACCCGAAUCUGCCUGCACCUUGAUCUUAGACUUCCCAGCCUCCAGAGCUGUGAGAAGACACACCAACCACUGAGAAACCAGUAUUCUUCAAUGACACCCUCCUUCAGUCUUUGGAUGUGGGCUGCUGCAGAAAGGAGGCAUGUGGCCUUGGCAAGGCAACUCUCUUCAGUCAAGACAAAUAUUGCAAAGAGCUGACAGCUGUGGAAAAAGGACCACGGCUGAGUCCAUGGAACCAGAGGACACACUGUAAUCCAGACAUGAGACUGAGCUCCAUUUAUCACUCAGUGUCAUAUGCCUCCACUCUAACAGAGGGCUCAUAUUGAUGCUUCAAUCCCUGUGUAUCACUGUCAACUCGGACCUUGUGUCAAUACUCUCGAAUAUUAGUAUUCUCUUUUCCUCCCAACAAAAUUAUUACCUGAGUAAAUGUUUGUGGAUUCCUUUGGGGAAGUACUGGAGGAACUAUUAUUGGUUAACUCAUGGUGGUUGCAGAAUCCUUCCUCCUGGGUACCCAACCUCUCCUUCAGUCAGUGGGUUCUGGGUUUGAAAACUGACUCAUAUGUGGAACUGGUGAGAAGUCAUGACUUUUUGUUGAGGCAACUGCCUUCAGCAUCUUAAUCAUACUCCGUUGAUUUCUUUUGGUCACAUAGAUUAUUUUCCUUGUUGCUGACUCAUCUAUUUUGCUCCUAGUGAUAUGAAGUUGUGUUAACUACCUCCGUCAUUCUCUGUGGGCCUGGUUCCCCAGCUGCUCCUCUGUCCUCGCCUUUCAUUAUGAUAAAUUCUAUCCACCUGGCUUCUGAGGGUUAAACAAUACCACCUGCAGUUAUAGUUCUGGGAUCCUAUCAUCCCCGUUGCUAUCAGGGGGCCCAGCUCUGUAAUGUCGUCUCCUAUGAUCAGCCCUAAC